rnacentral:tRNA from 1 species
GCGGGCGUAGCUCAGCGGUAGAGCGUCUGCUUGCCAAGCAGAAGGUCGCGGGUUCGAAACCCGUCGCCCGCU